UGGGGAAUAUUGCGCAAUGGGGGAAACCCUGACGCAGCAACGCCGCGUGAAGGACGAAGGUUUUCGGAUUGUAAACUUCAGCAAGCAGGGAAGAAGAAAGUGACAGUACCUGAACAAAAGCCACGGCUAACUACGUGCCAGCAGCCGCGGUAAUACGUAGGUGGCGAGCGUUGUCCGGAUUUACUGGGUGUAAAGGGCGCGUAGGCGGGUAAAUAAGUCAGAGGUGAAAUACCGGAGCUCAACUCCGUGGCUGCCUUUGAAACUGUAUAUCUUGAGUGCGGGAGAGGAAAGUGGAAUUCCUAGUGUAGCGGUGAAAUGCGUAGAGAUUAGGAGGAACACCAGUGGCGAAGGCGACUUUCUGGACCGUAACUGACGCUGAGGCGCGAAAGCGUGGGGAGCAAACA
rnacentral:rRNA from 1 species